UACGAAGGGGGCUAGCGUUGUUCGGAAUCACUGGGCGUAAAGGGCGCGUAGGCGGCUUUUCAAGUCGGGGGUGAAAGCCUGUGGCUCAACCACAGAAUUGCCUUCGAUACUGUUAGGCUUGAGACCGGAAGAGGUGAGUGGAACUGCGAGUGUAGAGGUGAAAUUCGUAGAUAUUCGCAAGAACACCAGUGGCGAAGGCGGCUCACUGGCCCGGUACUGACGCUGAGGCACGAAAGCGUGGGGAGCAAACAGG
rnacentral:rRNA from 1 species